rnacentral:rRNA from 1 species
UACGGAGGGAGCUAGCGUUGUUCGGAAUUACUGGGCGUAAAGCGCACGUAGGCGGCUUUGUAAGUUAGAGAUGAAAGCCCGGGGCUCAACUCCGGAACUGCCUUUAAGACUGCAUCGCUUGAAUCCAGGAGAGGUGAGUGGAAUUCCGAGUGUAGAGGUGAAAUUCGUAGAUAUUCGGAAGAACGCCAGUGGCGAAGGCGGCUCACUGGACUGGUAUUGACGCUGAGGUGCGAAAGCGUGGGGAGCAAACAGG